rnacentral:lncRNA from 14 species
GUUUGGUUCUGGGUUUGGUGGUGGGCUUUUUUAAUUUGUUUUUGUUUUUCUCAGAAGUGAGAGGAACAGAUAUGCAUUAAAGGGAGAAAGGAAUACAUAGUCGUAUGCUUACAACUCUCAAACAUAUGUGAUGGUGUGCAGCAGGAAUGAAUGACUGGUCAAACCUCAUAAGAUAAAUGUGAAUUCAAACUGGCGGACAAGAAACAUUAUCUAAGGGCACGAAAUAGCUCUGAGCUGUUGAAAGUAAUGUGUCUUCAGUCUACUAGAAAAUGUGUACUGGUGGUCUUAACAAAUCAUUUUCAACUGGUCAUUUCUCCACCUGCUCACCAAGGCCCAAGCAGCUGAAGCAAGCACAUCUCUGACACUGACUGAAUACCAAUGAAGCUGAGGUCACUUCAGUGUCAAGUGAGUGGGAG